UACGUAGGGGGCAAGCGUUGUCCGGAUUUAUUGGGCGUAAAGAGCGUGUAGGCGGCUAGAUAGGUCCGUUGUGAAAACUCGAGGCUCAACCUCGAGACGUCGAUGGAAACCAUCUGGCUAGAGUCCGGAAGAGGAGAGUGGAAUUCCUGGUGUAGCGGUGAAAUGCGCAGAUAUCUGGAGGAACACCGGUGGCGAAGGCGGCAUCCUGGACCGGUAUUGACGCUGAUGCGCGAAAGCCAGGGGAGCAAACGGG
rnacentral:rRNA from 1 species